UGGAACAAUCCAUGCAAUCGAAGAUAUUGAAAUGCAUUGAAAAGCUUUAUUCAGAUAAUACGGAAUUACGAAAGAUUGCUGAGGACGUCUCAUGCGAGAUCGUAGUAAACAAAUUAAAUGUACAUUGGGAUGACGUUAUAGGCCUAGAAGAAUGUAAAACCGCUGUUAAGGAGGCCGUUGUGUAUCCCCUUAAGUAUCCUAUCUCUUUUGAUGGCCCGUUUUCCCCAUGGAAAGGUAUUUUGCUGUACGGCCCACCUGGUACAGGUAAGAUACUCGUAUUCUUUUCAUUUCUGUACGUGUUUACAAGAAAUAUACAAAACAGGGAAAACGAAGUUAGCGAAGGCAGUCGCGACAGAAUGCCAUUGCACCUUUUUUAACAUAACUGCCAGCUGAUUAGUCAGCAAAUGGAGAGGCGAUUCCGAGAAGUAUAUACGUGUAAGUUGCUUUGUCUAUGUUUUAUUUGAACUUGCCUAUAGUCAUUCGCCUACAAUUAUUUUUAUCGACGAGAUUGACUGGAUCGCCACAAAUAAAGGAGACUGUAUAUUGUCUGAACCUGCAAAGAGAUUCAGAUCAGAACUUCUUUCUAGAUUGGAUGGAUUAGUGUCUAAUGAGAAUUCUAAUGUAGUUCUUCUGGCUACAACUAAUUCCCCUUGGGGCAUUGAUGCAGCUUUACUCAGGCGUCUCGAAAAGCAAAUAUACGUAUCAUUACCCAAUGAAGUUGCUCGACUUGGUAUAUUCAAAUUAUACCUUAGCAACCACUUAUUAGAAAAUACAGAUAUUGUAAACCACAUAGUAAAAUGUACUGAAAGAUAUUCUUGUGCAGAUAUAAAAUUGCUUUGUAAGCAAGCGUGGCUACUAGAAAUAAGCCCGAUAUGGAGGAGACUUGAAAAGAAAGAAACACCUGUUACCACUUUGAAAUAUGAAUUAAAAAGUUAUGAAAUAUUAGCAAAAUUGUUAAAAAAAAUGUCACCUACAGUUAUGCAAAUAGAUAAAUAUGAUACGCGGAACAAAUAAAUACGCAAUCGUAAUGACAGAUAUUGAAAAAUAUAAAUAAA